rnacentral:rRNA from 1 species
UACGUAGGGGGCAAGCGUUGUCCGGAAUCAUUGGGCGUAAAGAGCGUGUAGGCGGUCCGUUAAGUCGGCUGUGAAAGUCCAAGGCUCAACCUUGGGAUGCCGGUCGAUACUGCCGGACUAGAGUUCGGAAGAGGCGAGUGGAAUUCCCGGUGUAGCGGUGAAAUGCGCAGAUAUCGGGAGGAACACCUAUGGCGAAGGCAGCUCGCUGGGACGUAACUGACGCUGAGAAGCGAAAGCGUGGGUAGCGAACAGG